UCCCCAGGUCACACGAGGCCCUGCAGUGUCACAAGGGCCCCUUGGUUCUGUGGAGCCCACAGGGUCAGUUUUGCCAGUGGGCAGGGUCAGCACCAAAGACACAGACACCAACUGAAGGAAUUGUGUCAUUUAUAUAAGAUCCACACAGCAGCUGGGGAAGCUGUCCCAGCCAAGGGCUGCAGAGCCAUUCCUGGACACUGGGAAUUCCUGCAGGUGCCUCCAGCCACAGGACCAAACUUACAACAGCAUGUGUGAGAGAGACAGUCUGGAAUUCCCUCCCUUUGCCUCACGACCGUCUCAAGGACAGACAUGGGGAGCCUGAGGACCCUGAUGGGAAUUGUGGGCUGCCAGUGGUGGAUGAAGGCCAAAUAAUCCUGAGGCCCCUGAGCAGAGUUCUGCCCUGCCAAGUGAUUGUUCACAGCUGUGUCUACAAUGCCUGCUUCUGGCAGGGCCUGCCAAGGAGGCGACUCGCCCUAUACGCUGGCACCUGUUUGGUGACAAUAGCUUGAGCAUUUCCCCACCUCUUGGCCUGGUUGGACUUUGCUAGGGUAACCUUUGGUGGUCCCUCCCCUCACAGAAGAGCCAUCCUCUGCUUUCCAGCCACCGUGAUGAACGGAUUGAGAUGGGUGAAGCCUCCCUCUCAAGGACUGAGACAUGAAAUCUCUCUAUGGAGAAGCUCCCCUCUGCCAAAGAGGGAGACUGAAACCUCUAACACGGGGGAGGUGUGUGGGGGAGCCAACCUGACCAAAAGUGAGAUGUUUGCCUGCAGGUGUGGCCAUUGGACCAAGAAGACAAUGGUUGUCGCCUACUGCUGAGGACACAGACUGGCUGUACCUUCUUUUCCCCUCAGUGAUCAAUGGACUUCUUCUUUAUUGGAUCUGUUCCCCCUCAGUGAUUUCAGGAGCUGUUCCCUCCUUAGGAAUGGACUAUACUAGAACCUUGAGUUAACCAGGUGUUCUGAGAUUCUUCCUCACAUGACAAAAGGGAUGUAUUAGCCGGACCAUGAGGAUUUUGUCUCUCUGUUGGUAGCAAUAUUCUGCCUCCUCUCUCUCUCUCUCUUUAUCUCUCUCUCUAUCCUUUAUCUCCUUUCUAAUCCUUCUAUUGCAUUUGCUGCGGGCACUCAAUAAAAGGUGCAUUUGUGUUGAUGAAUACUGAAAUCCCCUCAGUGUUGUUUGUGCACUCUGAGAUCAGUUAACGAACCAUCAUGAGUCCCGCUUGUAUGAGCGGAUGGUGACAGCGU